UGGGAACGUGCCCUUCAGUUCGGGACAACCCAGGGAAACUUGGGCUAAUACCGGAUACGUCCGUAAGGAGAAAGAUUUAUCGCUGAAGGAUCGGCCCUCGUCUGAUUAGCUAGUUGGUGGGUAAUGGCCCACCAAGGCUACGAUCAGUAGCUGGUCUGAGAGGAUGGCCAGCCAC
rnacentral:rRNA from 1 species